rnacentral:rRNA from 1 species
UACAGAGGCCUCGAGCGUUAGGCGGAAUCACUGGGCUUAAAGCGUGUGUAGGCGGACUUCUAAGUACCUUGUGAAAUCCCACGGCUCACCCGUGGAACUGCUGGGUAUACUGGUCGUCUUGAGCCUUCUAGGGGCUACCGGAACAAAUGGUGGAGCGGUGAAAUGCGUAGAUAUCGGGAGGAACACCUGUGGCGAAAGCGGCGCACUGGACCACAACUGACGCUGAGGCGCGAAAGCUAGGGGAGCAAACAGG